UUGACUGUAGUUUAGUGGACAAAACGCCGGGAACGCCGGAAAUCGCGGGUUCGAGUCCCGUCAGUCACU
rnacentral:tRNA from 1 species